rnacentral:rRNA from 1 species
GACGAACGCUGGCGGCGUGCUUAACACAUGCAAGUCGAACGGAAAGGCCCUGCUUUUGUGGUGUGCCCGAGUGGCGAACGGGUGAGUAACACGUGAGUAACCUGCCCUUGACUUUGGGAUAACUUCAGGAAACUGGGGCUACUACCGGAUCGGAGCCCCUGUUGCAUGGUGGGGGUUGGAAAGUUUCGGCGGUUGGGGAUGGACUCGCGGCUUAUCAGCUUGUUGGUGGGGUAGUGGCUUACCAAGGAUUUGACGGGUAGCCGGCCUGAGAGGGUGAACGGCGACAAUGGUACUGAGAUACGGCCCAGACUGCUACGGGAGGCAGCAGUGGGGAAUAUUGCACAAUGGGAGGGAGCCUGAUGCAGCAACGCCGCGUGCGGGAUGACGGCCUUCGGGUUGUAAACCGCUUUCGCCUGUGACGAAGCGUGAGUGACGGUAAUGGGUAAAGAAGCACCGGCUAACUACGUG